CCUGCCCAGACAUCCCAAGUCUCUUCCACCCCUGCACGGUCUCCUCCACCCCUGCACCUUUCGGGGGCUCUGGCCCCCUCCCCACAGACUGCAUGGCCUCCCGCUCCCCCACCCAGACGCAGCUGGGCGGGGGAGAGGUCCAGACUCCACUCACCCAACAGAUUCCAAAGAGAGAGUUCUCCGGGAAUCUCCUGCUUUUAACCCCUGUGUGUUCUCAGAGGCGUAUCUGAACCUCAGUGGCCACCACACGUGACAAUUUCAAAUCUGGCCGCUGAUUGGUUUGACCACAACUUUUCCAAAAACUCACUUCCGGGUCAAACCAAGACAAAGUGUGAUUGUCAAAGUGCUGCAUCUCUUCACUUAGAGAUAUAAUUUCUAGACCCUAAUAAAUAUGGGCCAUUUAAAUUUUUAUUUUAGUUAUGUUAAAUGUCAUGAGAAAAAAAACCCCAAAACCUUUGUUUUUCCAGUUUCAUUUUGAUUACUUCUUGUCUGACCUCCAUGUCCCUGAAAUUCACAAAUGUACAGUCAGGCCAAGUUUGGUGUCACAAGUUUAAAACAAGAGAUGUCACAAUAAAUUAAGGAGUGCAAAGUCUUCCCUGUUAUGCACAAUAGCCUACUAUAUUGAACCUGUCUCUUGAAUCCACUGACCUGAGCCAUCGUGUCUCUGCCACCUUGUCACUGAAGCUGCUCUCUGCUCACCUUCACUUCAGUCCUAAGGCUUGUUAUCUGAAAGCUCCUUGUAAAGCCUGCAGUGUACAACUGCACACCAGCUCAUUCCACCAACCAAAGCAAAAAUCACAGAAGGCCAUAAGCCAUGGCUAUGAAAACAUGACCUCAGGAUAAUCACAAAACUCAGGAAUCUGGUGACAGCUGCUGUGACAAGUUCAUUCUGCUUGAUGAGGAAGUUCUUUUCACUUUUUUUUUAAAUGCUAUUUACACAUAGAUAGCUUUGAGUUUUUAUAUACAGAAUCUGUCAUAAACUUUUCUGUGAUAGGAAUAAAAUUAAUCCUUAUCACCCUA